rnacentral:tRNA from 1 species
GGGAUAUAGCUCAGUUGGUAGAGCAUCUGCUUCGCAUGUAGAAGGUCGCCGGUUCAACUCCGGUUGUCUCC